AUACGGGGUAAUUCUCGAUAAUGUCGUGAGACCAAACGGUCCGCCGCCUUUUGAGGGGCCCAUGUGAUAUUAGCUAGUAGGUGAGGUAAUAGCUCACCAAGGCGAAGAUGUCUAGCGGGUGUGAGAGCACGACCCGCGCCACUGGCACUGAGACACUGGCCAGACACCUACGGGUGGCUGCAGUCGAGGAUCUUCGGCAAUGGGCGCAAGCCAGACCGAUCGAUGCCGCGUGUGCGACGAGGACCUUCGGGUUGUAGAACACUGUCGAGAGGGAGAAAUGCCGAAACGGCUUGAUCUAUCUCUGGAGGAAGGGCGGGCUAAGUUCCGUGCCAGCAGUCCGCGGUAAGACGAACCGCCCGAACGU
rnacentral:rRNA from 1 species